UACGAGUCGUACGACGCGGUUGAGAAUUCCACUAAAGCAGGCCCACUGAACUGAACUGGCCGUUUCACCAAAACCAUCUGCAACGACACCGUUUCACCAAAACUCAAAACGCUUUCCCAAAUCACAAAUCACAAAACUCAGACCUGCCGACGCUCGCCGUCGAUGGCGCCAGUUCGGCCAGACCAGGUCCAAGGUGAUGGCGACGGCGCCGGCGCCGGCGCCGGACUCAUUGUUUCAAUGAUGUAACAGUUGUUGGAGGUAUGAUUGAGUAGAUUUAGCAAAUGUUGAAGCACCAUGAUUGUGACAUGGCCAAGACUUUUGACACCGACUCACCUUUCUCAAAUUAUGCGGAACCAGAAAAACCCAUUAACAGCGCUCCAAAUCUUCAAGGAAGCCAAAUACAAGUUCCCCAAUUACGGUCAUAAUGGUCCAGUCUAUGCCACCAUUAUUGGCAUCCUAGGAAAUGCAGGCUGGAUUUGUGAGAUGAAAGAGGUGAUUGACUGGAUGAAAGAAGACUCGUGUGAAUGCAAAGAUUCAGUCUUUGUUAAUGCAAUCAAAACCUAUGCGAGAGCUGGAUUGCUAGAUGAAGCUGUCUCUCUUUUUAAAAGCAUUCCUCAGUUCAACUGCGUGAAUAGGACAGAAUCUUUCAACACCCUGUUGCAGAUAUUGGUCAAUGAAUCUAAGCUUAUAGCCGCUCAUCGUUUGUUCUUAGAAAGCUCAUAUGGGUGGGAAGUGAAGUCUCGGAUUCGUUCCUUGAACUUGCUCAUGGAUGCUCUGUGCCAGAGGGGUUGUUCUGUUCUUGCAUUGCAAGUCUUCUUAGAGAUGAAUUAUCAAGGUUGCUAUCCAAAUAAGGAAAGCUAUCGGAUUCUAAUGAAAGGGUUGUGUGAAGAUAGGAGGUUGAAUGAGGCCACCCAUUUGUUGUAUUCAAUGUUUUGGAGGAUCUCUCAGAAGGGUAGUGGUGAGGAUGUUGUAGUCUAUAGAACCUUGUUAUAUACUUUAUGUGAUAAUCGGCAAGUUGAAAAGACUGUGGAAAUUCUUGGUAAGAUUUUAAGGAAGGGGCUGAAGGCUCGUAAGCAAUGUUUCCACCAUCUUGACCUUGGUCAGUGUAGUACUGGUGAAGAUAUAGAAGGCACCAAGCGUUUGAUUAAUGAAGCUUUGAUCAGAGGUGGGAUUCCCAGUUUGGUUAGUUAUAGUGCUAUGGCUAUUGAUCUUUACAAUGAAGGUAAGAUUAGUGAGGCUAACAAAGUUCUCAUUCAAAUGCAAGAAACAGGAUUUCGGCCAACAAACUUGAUUUAUGAAUCAAAGUUAGCAGCAUUGUGUAGGGGAGGGAAUGUUGAUGCAGCAGUGAAGGUAAUUGAAGAGGAAAUGGAGGGAAAUUGUGUACCAAAUGUUAGGGCAUAUAAUAUUGUGCUGAAAGGAUUGUGUAAUGAGAGGAAAUCGGUCCUUGCUGUUGAGUAUUUGAAGAAAAUGGCUAAGAAGUUGGGUUGCAAUGCAGACAAGGAAACUUACAGCAUUUUAAUUGAUGGGUUAUGUUGUGAAAGUAGAUAUCUUGAAGCAAGUGAAGUGUUGCAGGAGAUGUUAAUCAAAUCAUAUUGGCCUUGUGUUGAUACUUAUAAUAUACUUAUCAGGGGUCUUUGCUCUGUGGGUAGGCAGUACGAAGCUAUUUUGUGGUUGGAGGAAAUGAUUAGCCAAGGAAUGAAGCCAGAACUUUCUGUAUGGAACUUGUUGGUAGCAUCUGUAUGUUCCAACUUGACCGACAUUGAGUGCAGUAAUGAAUGGGUCACACACACGCACAUAUAUAAUGUAGUACCAGACAGCGACUUGACUAUUGGAAAAUGAAAAGAGUGAAGAGAUUAGAAAUGGAAGGAUUAGAAAGUGGAAUUCCUACUACUCUGUCGUGUGUACUGGACAGAGACAUGUCGGCUAGGGUAAUGGAUUCCAUAUAAAUAGUCAAAAAAUAAAAAGGAAGAUUAGUCCAAAUUGGGAAGGAUCUACGGAGCUUCUUUUUUGUGUUGAGUUCUUGACAAUGUCUGCAGUGUUCAAGCUUAUAAUGGUGAUGGUUUGGAGGAUGACUGUUAGAUAUAUUAUGGUACAAGUGGUCCAAAUUAAUUGUAGGCCUAUUUACUUGUAUGUAGAAUAAGCAAUUUAACUUUAUAUAUUGAGUUCAUUGUAACAAAAGUGCUUGAUAAAUAGAUGUAGCCGUUAUGAGCUUUCAUACUAUAGGCUGUUAGGCUAAACCAUGAUAACCUGUGUGCUUGUGUAUUCUCUAUCUAUGCUCUAUCUUUAAUGCUUUCACGCAGCAUUCAAUUAUCACAUACAAGCACACAACAACUUUAACAUCGGUGGCACUCUCAAGGAGAAGGCGAAGCUGCAACGGAAUUUCAUAGGGAUUCAAAAGAAGAGGCUAGAAAGUUUCCUGUGGAUUCUUUCUGCCUCGCAUGAAGACUUUUGUUCAUUUUCGUUGCAUCUAAGAUUUGGAAUUACUGUACUAAUCGAAGACUUUCGAGCGCACUUAUCCCAACCAAAUACCAACUGCAGCCAAGAUUGGUCUAAAAGCUCCUGUUGUAGCUGGGGAUUGAAAGGAUAUAACAAGAAGUAUGACAACUUUAAGGAGUUUCUGAAUCUUGCAAUCUCUUUAAAGCAUCCUUCUUUCUAUCAAACUGGAACAUUGCUCCUUCCAUGGAAUCAAACGUUAGAAAUCCUCCACCUUUGAGUUCCUCAAUGGAAUCAAAAAUGACCAAUUCCACCAAAUCUGAGCCAAGUAGCCCAAUUAGAAAAGACAAAUUUCGACAAUUUACACGCUCUAUAUCCUCAUU